GAAAUGGCCGAAUGGAUAAGGUGUUAGCGUUGCGAUCACAAUGUCGUGGGUUCGAUUCCUACAGGGGGUACG